rnacentral:rRNA from 1 species
AUUGAACGCUGGCGGAAUGCUUUACACAUGCAAGUCGAACGGCAGGCACGGGGCGAACCUGGUGGCGAGUGGCGAACGGGUGAGUAAUACAUCGGAACGUGCCCAGUAGUGGGGGAUAGCCCGGCGAAAGCCGGAUUAAUACCGCAUACGACCUACGGGUGAAAGCGGGGGAUCGCAAGACCUCGCGCUAUUGGAGCGGCCGAUGUCAGAUUAGCUAGUUGGUGGGGUAAAAGCCUACCAAGGCGACGAUCUGUAGCUGGUCUGAGAGGACGACCAGCCACACUGGGACUGAGACACGGCCCAGACUCCUACGGGAGGCAGCAGUGGGGAAUUUUGGACAAUGGGGGCAACCCUGAUCCAGCCAUGCCGCGUGCGGGAUGAAGGCCUUCGGGUUGUAAACUGCUUUUGUACGGAACGAAAAGGUCCUUUCUAAUAAAGAGGGCUCAUGACGGUACCGUAAGAAUAAGCACCGGCUAACUACGUG